rnacentral:misc_RNA from 1 species
CAGGCCACUGCUAAUGGUGGGUCCCUUCCUUGCACCUCUACUAAUGCUACCCAAACUCCGUCUUCCAACGACACCCUUACUGUCACUGAACACCAAGUCGCUAAGCUAAUGGAAGAAGACAUGGGCUCCGCCAUGCAGUAUUUACAGGGAAAAGGCCUCUGCCUCAUGCCUAUUUCUCUCGCCACUGCCAUUUCAACCGCCACCUCUCACUCCCGGAAUCCAGUCCUCAACACCAAUAACU